rnacentral:rRNA from 1 species
UACAGAGGGUGCGAGCGUUAAUCGGAAUUACUGGGCGUAAAGCGCACGUAGGCGGCUUGGUAUGUCGGGUGUGAAAUCCCCGGGCUCAACCUGGGAACUGCAUCCGAAACUGCCUUGCUCGAGUAUGGGAGAGGGAAGUGGAAUUUCCGGUGUAGCGGUGAAAUGCGUAGAUAUCGGAAGGAACAUCAGUGGCGAAGGCGACUUCCUGGACCAAUACUGACGCUCAGGAGCGAAAGCGUGGGGAGCGAACAGG